CUCUAGACUACGGAAUUCUUUUUGGUGUAAAGCAGGUAAAAGCUCUGUCCUGAUUACACACUGACCCGCUUUGGGAUGUGGAAUGCAGGUAACUCAUCAUGAGUCAAGGAAGGAAGAAGAUUCUUUCAGAAAGUUUCAACUAUGACAGAUGAAGGCAGAAAAAAAAAUAUGGAAGGUCAACAUAUUCUUGUUUUGAAAGUACAUUUCCUGUUUUUAGCACAAUUAUCCCUUAGUAUGCUUCAUUUAUCAUAAAGAUGUAAUGUUAAAGGAUUAAUAACUAACAGUCUGGAAUCUUUGAGAAUCGGCAGCAAAUUGAUGACAUACUCAAUCCAGAAGAAUGUUAUGGUCUUAAGGCAUCCAGAUGUAGUUUCAAAAUCAGGGAAUGAAAUAAAGUCUAAAGUUUAACACUCACAAGAGAAAUAACUGAUGUUGGGGACUGUCAUGCUAUCUUCUAUUUAAAGGUAACUGCCUAGUAGUAGAAAAU
rnacentral:lncRNA from 1 species